rnacentral:siRNA from 1 species
UGAAAGUGACAGUGACUCUGAUG